rnacentral:rRNA from 1 species
UUGGUUGUAGCUGGCUUGAUUGAUCUUUAAAAGAUUUCAGGCAUGUGCACACCUUUUUUUUCAUCCAUACACCCCCUGUGCACUUGUGAGACAGAAUUUGGAAGGGGGGAACCUUUUAUUGGGAUUUUUUCCUGUCUGUUUACUUAAUUCACCCAAACUCGAUUUAUUUUAAAAGGAAUGUAAUUGAUGUAACCCAUUUAAUAUUAAGUUUCAACAACGGUUUUUUUGGUUUUGGCAUCGAUGAAGAACGCAGGGAAAUGCGAUAAGUAAUGUGAAUUGCAGAAUUCAGUGAUUCAUGGAUUCUUUGAACGCCCCUUGCGUUCCUUGGUAUUCCUUGGAGCAUGCCUGUUUGAGUUUCAUGAAUUUUUCAAAGUAAUUCUUUUGUUAAUUCAAUUGGUUUUUACUUUGUUCUGGGAGGUCUUUGCAGCUUCACCCCUGUUCUUCUUUGUUCAUUAGCUGGAUUUCAGUGUUAUGCUUGGUUCCAUUGGGCGUGAUAAGUUAUCUACCGUUGAGGCCACGGUAAAAGGUGGCCAAGGUAAAUGCAGAUGAACCGUUUUUAAUAGUCCAUUGACUUGGACAAAAAUUUAUGAUCUGAUCUCAAAUCAGGUAGAACUACCCGCU